rnacentral:lncRNA from 1 species
UUUUGCAAAGACAACGUUUAGUGUAACAUCUAGUCUUACCACUAGCACUACAUCCACAUUUUGUGUAACCCUGACCAUUACACAAAGAAACUUUACUGACAGCUUUUCUAAAGGAUAUUUCAUUAUCAUAAUUUACAGAUUGAAUAGCAAUAAAGUUACUGUCAGACAGUUCAAACUGAUUUCUGGUGUAAAGUCCACGUAGUAUUCCUUCUUUAAUUCCCAGUUGAUAACCAUGCUCUUCCUUUCCAGUCACAACAGCCAUAAGGUUAGGGGUUAUCCAUAAUUGUCAACAAUUUUCCAAAGUGUACAAAACGUACACUUGGGUGGAG